AUGGCCGCGGUUCGGUGCGCGGCGAGGAGGCUCGGCGGCUCUCUGCUCCAGCGAACGCAGGCGGCGGUCGCGGAGGAGGGACGCCUGCUCGCGCCAAGCAGGCUCAUGCGCUCCCGCCAGCUCUCCACCAAGGUCUCCGGCGAGCGAUCGCAGGUGGCGGAGCGACACCUCCUCGAGCCAGGCAGCCUCAUGCGCUCCCGCCAGCUCUCCGGCGAGCAUGCUCGCAACAUCCAGAAGAAAGAGGAUGACUGCUGGGCGGGGUUCAAUGAGACGCUAAAGAGGUUGGACGAGCUUCAAAAAAAGAAGAAACCAAGUGUCUUUCAGCAGCGCAUGAUAUCCAUCGACCGUGCGUUGAAGAGUUUGGUCUAUGGAUCUUUCAAGGUGACAGUUGUGUAUGUGGCUGCUGCUACUGCUUUCUCUGGCAGUGGGCUAGAAGCGUAG
rnacentral:rRNA from 1 species